CUACGGGAGGCUGCAGUAGGGAAUCUUGCGCAAUGGGCGAAAGCCUGACGCAGCGACGCCGCGUGAGUGAUGAAGGCCUUCGGGUUGUAAAGCUCUGUGGAGAGGGAAGAAUAAGUCUAGGUUAACACCCUAGAUGAUGACGGUAUCUCUUUAGCAAGCACCGGCUAACUCUGUGCCAGCAGCCGCGGUAAGACAGAGGGUGCAAACGUUGUUCGGAAUCACUGGGCGUAAAGCGCGUGUAGGCGGCUUGGUAAGUCGGAUGUGAAAUCCCGGGGCUCAACCCCGGAAGUGCACUCGAAACUGCCUCGCUAGAGUCCUGGAGAGGAAGGCGGAAUACUUGGUGUAGAGGUGAAAUUCGUAGAUAUCAAGUAGAACACCGGUGGCGAAGGCGGCCUUCUGGACAGUGACUGACGCUGAGACGCGAAAGCGUGGGGAGCAAACAGGAUUAGAUACCCGGGUAGUC
rnacentral:rRNA from 1 species